rnacentral:rRNA from 1 species
AUUGAACGCUCGCGGGAUGCUUUACACAUGCAAGUCGAACGGCAGCGCGGACUUCGGUCUGGCGGCGAGUGGCGAACGGGUGAGUAAUGUAUCGGAACGUGCCCAGUAGCGGGGGAUAACUACGCGAAAGCGUAGCUAAUACCGCAUACGCCCUACGGGGGAAAGCCGGGGAUCGUAAGACCUUGCACUAUUUGAGCGGCCGAUAUCGGAUUAGCUAGUUGGUGAGGUAACGGCUCACCAAGGCGACGAUCCGUAGCUGGUUUGAGAGGACGACCAGCCACACUGGGACUGAGACACGGCCCAGACUCCUACGGGAGGCAGCAGUGGGGAAUUUUGGACAAUGGGGGCAACCCUGAUCCAGCCAUCCCGCGUGUGCGAUGAAGGCCUUCGGGUUGUAAAGCACUGUUGGCAGGAAAGAAACGUCGCGGGCUAAUACCCCGUGGAACUGACGGUACCUGCAGAAUAAGCACCGGCUAACUACGUG